AUUGAACGCUGGCGGCAGGCCUAACACAUGCAAGUCGAGCGGCAGCGGGAAAGUAGCUUGCUACUUUUGCCGGCGAGCGGCGGACGGGUGAGUAAUGCCUGGGAAAUUGCCCAGUCGAGGGGGAUAACAGUUGGAAACGACUGCUAAUACCGCAUACGCCCUACGGGGGAAAGCAGGGGACCUUCGGGCCUUGCGCGAUUGGAUAUGCCCAGGUGGGAUUAGCUAGUUGGUGAGGUAAUGGCUCACCAAGGCGACGGUCCCUAGCUGGUCUGAGAGGAUGAGCCGCCACACUGGAACUGAGACACGGUCCAGACUCCUACGGGAGGCAGCAGUGAGGAAUAUUGCACAAUGGGGGAAACCCUGAUGCAGCCAUGCCGCGUGUGUGAAGAAGGCCUUCGGGUUGUAAAGCACUUUCAGCGAGGAGGAAAGGUUGAUGCCUAAUACGUAUCAACUGUGACGUUACUCGCAGAAGAAGCACCGGCUAACUCCGUGCCAGCCGCCGCCGUAAUAC
rnacentral:rRNA from 1 species